rnacentral:rRNA from 1 species
AACGAACGCUGGCGGCAUGCCUAACACAUGCAAGUCGAACGAGACCUUCGGGUCUAGUGGCGCACGGGUGCGUAACGCGUGGGAACCUGCCCUUCGGUUCGGAAUAACUCCCCGAAAGGGGUGCUAAUACCGGAUAAUGUCUUCGGACCAAAGAUUUAUCGCCUUUGGAUGGGCCCGCGUUGGAUUAGCUAGUUGGUAGGGUAAAAGCCUACCAAGGCGACGAUCCAUAGCUGGUCUGAGAGGAUGAUCAGCCACACUGGGACUGAGACACGGCCCAGACUCCUACGGGAGGCAGCAGUGGGGAAUAUUAGACAAUGGGCGAAAGCCUGAUCCAGCAAUGCCGCGUGAGUGAUGAAGGCCUUAGGGUUGUAAAGCUCUUUUACCCGGGAUGAUAAUGACAGUACCAGGAGAAUAAGCUCCGGCUAACUCCGUG